rnacentral:rRNA from 1 species
GGGUUGUGAGGUUAAGCGACUAAGCGUACACGGUGGAUGCCCUGGCAGUCAGAGGCGAUGAAGGACGUGCUAAUCUGCGAUAAGCGUCGGUAAGGUGAUAUGAACCGUUAUAACCGGCGAUUUCCGAAUGGGGAAACCCAGUGUGAUUCGUCACACUAUCAUUAACUGAAUCCAUAGGUUAAUGAGGCGAACCGGGGGAACUGAAACAUCUAAGUACCCCGAGGAAAAGAAAUCAACCGAGAUUCCCCCAGUAGCGGCGAGCGAACGGGGAGCAGCCCAGAGCCUGAAUCAGUGUGUGUGUUAGUGGAAGCGUCUGGAAAGGCGCGCGAUACAGGGUGACAGCCCCGUACACAAAAAUGCACAUGCUGUGAGCUCGAUGAGUAGGGCGGGACACGUGGUAUCCUGUCUGAAUAUGGGGGGACCAUCCUCCAAGGCUAAAUACUCCUGACUGACCGAUAGUGAACCAGUACCGUGAGGGAAAGGCGAAAAGAACCCCGGCGAGGGGAGUGAAAAAGAACCUGAAACCGUGUACGUACAAGCAGUGGGAGCACGCUUAGGCGUGUGACUGCGUACCUUUUGUAUAAUGGGUCAGCGACUUAUAUUCUGUAGCAAGGUUAACCGAAUAGGGGAGCCGAAGGGAAACCGAGUCUUAACUGGGCGUUAAGUUGCAGGGUAUAGACCCGAAACCCGGUGAUCUAGCCAUGGGCAGGUUGAAGGUUGGGUAACACUAACUGGAGGACCGAACCGACUAAUGUUGAAAAAUUAGCGGAUGACUUGUGGCUGGGGGUGAAAGGCCAAUCAAACCGGGAGAUAGCUGGUUCUCCCCGAAAGCUAUUUAGGUAGCGCCUCGUGAAUUCAUCUCCGGGGGUAGAGCACUGUUUCGGCAAGGGGGUCAUCCCGACUUACCAACCCGAUGCAAACUGCGAAUACCGGAGAAUGUUAUCACGGGAGACACACGGCGGGUGCUAACGUCCGUCGUGAAGAGGGAAACAACCCAGACCGCCAGCUAAGGUCCCAAAGUCAUGGUUAAGUGGGAAACGAUGUGGGAAGGCCCAGACAGCCAGGAUGUUGGCUUAGAAGCAGCCAUCAUUUAAAGAAAGCGUAAUAGCUCACUGGUCGAGUCGGCCUGCGCGGAAGAUGUAACGGGGCUAAACCAUGCACCGAAGCUGCGGCAGCGACGCUGAUGCGUUGUUGGGUAGGGGAGCGUUCUGUAAGCCUGCGAAGGUGUGCUGUGAGGCAUGCUGGAGGUAUCAGAAGUGCGAAUGCUGACAUAAGUAACGAUAAAGCGGGUGAAAAGCCCGCUCGCCGGAAGACCAAGGGUUCCUGUCCAACGUUAAUCGGGGCAGGGUGAGUCGACCCCUAAGGCGAGGCCGAAAGGCGUAGUCGAUGGGAAACAGGUUAAUAUUCCUGUACUUGGUGUUACUGCGAAGGGGGGACGGAGAAGGCUAUGUUGGCCGGGCGACGGUUGUCCCGGUUUAAGCGUGUAGGCUGGUUUUCCAGGCAAAUCCGGAAAAUCAAGGCUGAGGCGUGAUGACGAGGCACUACGGUGCUGAAGCAACAAAUGCCCUGCUUCCAGGAAAAGCCUCUAAGCAUCAGGUAACAUCAAAUCGUACCCCAAACCGACACAGGUGGUCAGGUAGAGAAUACCAAGGCGCUUGAGAGAACUCGGGUGAAGGAACUAGGCAAAAUGGUGCCGUAACUUCGGGAGAAGGCACGCUGAUAUGUAGGUGAAGUCCCUCGCGGAUGGAGCUGAAAUCAGUCGAAGAUACCAGCUGGCUGCAACUGUUUAUUAAAAACACAGCACUGUGCAAACACGAAAGUGGACGUAUACGGUGUGACGCCUGCCCGGUGCCGGAAGGUUAAUUGAUGGGGUCAGCGCAAGCGAAGCUCUUGAUCGAAGCCCCGGUAAACGGCGGCCGUAACUAUAACGGUCCUAAGGUAGCGAAAUUCCUUGUCGGGUAAGUUCCGACCUGCACGAAUGGCGUAAUGAUGGCCAGGCUGUCUCCACCCGAGACUCAGUGAAAUUGAACUCGCUGUGAAGAUGCAGUGUACCCGCGGCAAGACGGAAAGACCCCGUGAACCUUUACUAUAGCUUGACACUGAACAUUGAGCCUUGAUGUGUAGGAUAGGUGGGAGGCUUUGAAGUGUGGACGCCAGUCUGCAUGGAGCCGGCCUUGAAAUACCACCCUUUAAUGUUUGAUGUUCUAACGUUGACCCGUGAUCCGGGUUGCGGACAGUGUCUGGUGGGUAGUUUGACUGGGGCGGUCUCCUCCUAAAGAGUAACGGAGGAGCACGAAGGUUGGCUAAUCCUGGUCGGACAUCAGGAGGUUAGUGCAAUGGCAUAAGCCAGCUUGACUGCGAGCGUGACGGCGCGAGCAGGUGCGAAAGCAGGUCAUAGUGAUCCGGUGGUUCUGAAUGGAAGGGCCAUCGCUCAACGGAUAAAAGGUACUCCGGGGAUAACAGGCUGAUACCGCCCAAGAGUUCAUAUCGACGGCGGUGUUUGGCACCUCGAUGUCGGCUCAUCACAUCCUGGGGCUGAAGUAGGUCCCAAGGGUAUGGCUGUUCGCCAUUUAAAGUGGUACGCGAGCUGGGUUUAGAACGUCGUGAGACAGUUCGGUCCCUAUCUGCCGUGGGCGCUGGAGAACUGAGGGGGGCUGCUCCUAGUACGAGAGGACCGGAGUGGACGCAUCACUGGUGUUCGGGUUGUCAUGCCAAUGGCACUGCCCGGUAGCUAAAUGCGGAAGAGAUAAGUGCUGAAAGCAUCUAAGCACGAAACUUGCCCCGAGAUGAGUUCUCCCUGACUCCUUGAGAGUCCUGAAGGAACGUUGAAGACGACGACGUUGAUAGGCCGGGUGUGUAAGCGCAGCGAUGCGUUGAGCUAACCGGUACUAAUGAACCGUGAGGCUUAACCUUACAACGCCGAAGCUGUU